rnacentral:lncRNA from 10 species
AGCUGUUCACGAACAGAAAAAGCCAAGGCAGGCAAAAGGAAGCUAAAAGCAGACUCAGAAUCACUGUCGAGGCUGAGAAAAUGAAGUUCAGAAACAGCUGGUCAGCAGGCUCAGAACAAACACAUCAGACAAAAAGGCGCCCCAAAUACGAAUCUAUUCUCCCUGCGGGGACUUAAAAUUGUCACCCGUUCAGAUUUAAAAUCAGUUUCAAAAGCCAGUACCAGAAACGUAAUUUUCCUGUCCCCGUGAAAUUGUGAGAAGCCACCAAGCAGCUGGCUGGUUCCCCACAACUAGCAUUGCAGACAGAGGCCUCCCGACCCGCUUUCUGCAUAAAUAUAGGCCUAGAGCUCCUGUUGGUUUAAAAUGAUAUCAACAAGGGCAGGGACCGAGCGCGUAUUCCUCCGCCGGCUGCCUGGCCAGUCUCGGGCUGGCUAGCCUUUCGCUAAGGCCUCUCCGCACUCAGCGUCUGCGAAAGGGUACACCAGACACUUGGUGCGAUAAGACCGGCAGGCAGGCUGCAGGCAGCGGAUAGGACACAGAGACAGACAGACAGACACACGCGCGGGGGAUCGAAGACCGCCCAGAUACCCAAGAUGCCCACUGGGUACGGACCGAGUGAGGCGCGGUGAUUUCAGCAGCCUGAGGCUCGAGGCAGGUCCGGAGAGACUGACUGGCAAACGCGCAAUAGAGUGAUUAACCAUCCCUGUUAAUGUGGAACAGAGAGGUUUCCUGGGAUACUGGACUUUCAGUGGUAAAAGUUGGAAAGUCUAAGCUGGCUGGCAAAAUGUAAUAAUGUGAAAGAAGAAAACUCUAGGAAGAAACUUCAACAGUAAAAUGAAAUAAAAUACUAAGAGGAUUUUCAGGAAACGCUGUUUGGAAGGCAGAAGGGAGACGGGACAAAUAGCAAGAUUUUAAAGUGAAGAGGCCGGCCCAAUAUAGGCCCUCGGGAGCUGGAAAGGAAGGCCACCUAGUGGCGUUUGAGCGAAGGACACAGCUUAUCUGCAGUUAAUAAC